rnacentral:tRNA from 1 species
ACCGAAAUAGCUCAGUUGGGAGGGUGUUAAGACUAUAAAUCGAAAGUUCCUGGUUCGAUCCCGGGUUCCGGCA